GCCGUUCAUGUGGCUUGCAGUAAUGUUUUUCGCAUCAAGAUCUAAAGUUUCUCUUGAACACGCACUGUAUGUAUAUGCGUGCUUUCUUACGUCUUCAGCAUUGCCAUGGGUUGUGGUAAAUAUGUCCGUUGAUGGAGAAUACUGCGUUCUUAGCAUCGGUUUUAUCGUUACCAGUGGAGCGCAAAAUAAGCGAACAUAAGGAUUCAACAGCGUUUUCUUUUCCGAUCCAUCUGAGUCUACUCUCUAUUUUCGGCUAUAGUAGUACCGAUAACAAGGAAUGACACCACUGAGGUUGCUGCGUGGAUGUCAAAACCUCACACAUGCAUUCGGAGCAACAUAACGCAGCAGUCAACCAGCAACAGUUUCAAAGGGUAUAAUUGUCAGCGCAGCAUUGGCCGUGCAAGGCACUUGGAGCACAGCUCUUGACAGAUGAUCACAGGUUGAGACUAUGGCCGGGACAAGUAUGCGAUACUUUAUGCGAUCACCGACGAUAUGGACAGAUUUUCUGAGGAGAUACGAACGUGAAAUCCGGUGUUGAUAUUCUGUGCAGCUCAAUCUACAUUUCAGAACUAUUUUGCAAUAGCUUGUGUUUCUAACUGUUUCUUGAAGCAGGCAUAGAUCUACAAAAGAAAAAUUCAAUGAGUUUGAUAGCAGUGGUGAUCGCUUCAUUGUAUUCACAUCAAGAGGCUCUUGAGCAGUUCAGUCAGAAGCUCUAAUUGUUUUCGCAGAAGCUCUUGAUCGCGUGAGGGAAGACGGAUUAAUCAUGGGUACGGAAUAUUUUCGUCUUUUCUCCGAGAGCAAUCGACCAGUCUUUGGUCAGUGUUGCUUGGAGCGAUGCGGAAGACCUGUCCCAGCUGAACCGUAUUUUCUGCUUCAAUGAUGAGCUCUUCAAUAAAUUUUACUGGUAGGGUUUCGGUUCUCA